UGUGUAUUAUUUUUUCAAGAUUUUCUUUUUUCCUUCAAAUUUCAUAUGUUUUUUGAAAAUAAAAAAUUAAUUAUUAUUUUAAAUGGAGAAUGGUCUUUUAGCAAUUUUUUGAAACUUACAUCUAAUAUUUAACCAUGAGUGAGAAUUUUUACCAUCAAAGUGCUGAUUCAUAUUCUGAGUUCAUCUUAUUGCUUGUUGUUCAUCUUCAUCCUGAACCCUAACUAAUAGGAGCUUCUUCGCCUUCCACAGUCCAUAUUCGAUUCUUCAUAUGAUCUGAUUCCAAUUUACCAUCGAAUUGUUCGAUGUUGGUGGUUUGGACGACGGUGACGAGAUCGAGCUCGCGGAGGUGGAAAGAUAAAGUGGUUGUUGGCCUCUGUUGUUCGCUGCAUUAGGUUUGGAUCGAGGAAGACCUCGUUUUGGACGGAGAUGAGGUUAAGGGAUACAGUGGCAGUCUCUUUCGACAAAUAAUUUUCAUAGGGUUCAAUAUUAUGAUCUUGGCUUUUGAGGGAUAUCUUGGCUUUUGAUUGCAUUUUGGUGGGCUUUAGCUUCUGCUGCAUAAGCAUACCCCCUGCAUAAGCAUAAUCUGCAUUUUGCUGUGCAGAGUCUCGUUAUUUGGUGGGGGGACUGGAGAAUAAAUUUGGUUGGGGUGGAUGUUUGUGUAUUUGUUUGUUUGGUAGUUGGGUUAUAUCCCAUUAUGUGGUCUGGAAGGUGAUUUAAUAGUGAUGCAAGUUACAUUAGAAAGAGCAUUGGUUGGAUGAGGGUUUAACUCAUGGUUUGUAAUAUGUUUUAUGGUCUUGCAAUUUAAUACUUCCAUUGCAGUGUUAGUUUGGAUAUGCUCAUUGUUUAGACUGGAUAGACAUCUUUGUUUUUUA